AUGUAAUGUAAUUCCUACAACAUUAAUGAACCAAAUACAAUUAGAACUCCAUAGUUAAGUUCACUUGGGAUAGAUUAGUACUGGGAUGGAUCACCUUUCGAGAAGUCCUAGUGUUUUGCAUG
rnacentral:rRNA from 1 species